rnacentral:rRNA from 1 species
AUGACGAUCAUGACCUGGAACUGUUGAGGCCUCGGGCAACCUCGAACAGUUCAAUAUCUAGUGUGCUUAGUGCACACAUACAAGCCCAAGCUCGUCUUCCUUACUGAAACUCGCCAGAACAAUAAGUACGUCUCAAAUCUUAAGUGGAGGCUAGGUCUCUGUCAUUGUAUCAUGCAUCCCGGUACUGGAAAAGGUGCCGGCAUUGCCCUCUUUUAUGAUGAGAGUGGAAAUAAAAAAGAUUGGCAUGGGGACGAGGUAUAUCGAUGUGUUGAUCCGCUUGAACCCUAA